UACGUUUACGUGCGAGGUUAAGUCGGAGAGACGGAGCCGCAGCGAAAGCGAGUCUGAAUAGGGCGAUUCAGUACGUAGGCGUAGACCCGAAACCGGGUGAUCUACCCCUGUGCAGGGUGAAGGUGAGGUAACACUCACUGGAGGCCCGAACUCACAAGCGUUGAAAAGCUUGGGGAUGACGUGGGGGUAGGGGAGAAAUUCCAAUCGAACUCGGAGAUAGCUGGUUCUCCCCGAAAUAGCUUUAGGGCUAGCCUCGAGGUUAAGCAUCGUGGAGGUAGAGCACUGAUUGGGUGCGGGGCCCGCCAAGGGUUACCAAGUCCAGUCAAACUCCGAAUGCCAUGCAUGUAUACUCGGGAGUCAGACAGCGAGUGCUAAGAUCCGUUGUCAAGAGGGAAAGAGCCCAGAUCAUCAGCUAAGGUCCCCAAGUGUGUGUUAAGUGGGAAAGGAUGUGGAGUUGCGAAGACAACCAGGAUGUUGGCUUAGAAGCAGCCACCAUUUAAAGAGUGCGUAAUAGCUCACUGGUCGAGUGACUCUGCGCCGAAAAUGUAACGGGGCUAAACACACCACCGAAGCUAUGGCAUGUCGUAGUCUUCUCUUUGUCAUCGAGCAAGUGUGCGUACCCGAGCAUUCAUCGAAAUCAACCGCUGACGGUUAUUCAGAGAUUUCGAUCAAAUGCUCCAGCUAAGCACACCGCCACUCGAAGACGUAGAGAAGACUACGACUUGGGUAGGGGAGCGUUGAAUGCGGGUUGAAGUCAGACCGGAAGGACUGGUGGACUGCAUUCAAGUGAGAAUGCCGGUAUGAGUAACGAAAAGACAAGUGAGAAUCUUGUCCGCCGAAAGCCUAAGGGUUCCUGAGGAAGGUUCGUCCGCUCAGGGUAAGUCGGGACCUAAGGCGAGGCCGAAAGGCGUAGUCGAAGGACAACAGGUUGAAAUUCCUGUACCACCGUAAGCCGUUAUGAGCAAUGGGGGGACGCAGGAGGGCAAGAACGCAGACUGAUGGAUUAGUCUGUCCAAGCAGUGAGGGGUGUGUGUAGGCAAAUCCGCACACUAAUACCUUGAGCUGUGAUGGGGAGGGAAAAUUGCAGUACCGAAGGUUCCGUGCUCACGCUGCCGAGAAAAGCCUCUAGCCAGGCGAUGGUGCCCGUACCGCAAACCGACACAGGUAGGCGAGAAGAGA
rnacentral:rRNA from 1 species